GUGCAGCAGUCGAGAAUUUUUCUCAAUGGGGGCAACCCUGAAGGAGCGACGCCGCGUGGAGGAUGAAGGCUUUCGGGUUGUAAACUCCUGUCAUUUGAGAACAAGUGCCAACAAGUAACUACUGUUGGCUUGAUAGUAUCAGAAGAGGAAGGGACGGCCAACUCUGUGCCAGCAGCCGCGGUAAUACAGAGGUCCCAAGCGUUGUUCGGAUUCAUUGGGCGUAAAGGGUGCGCAGGUGGCGUGGUAAGUCGGGUGUGAAAUUUCGGAGCUUAACUCCGAAACUGCAUUCGAUACUGCCGUGCUUGAGGACUGGAGAGGAGACUGGAAUUUACGGUGUAGCAGUGAAAUGCGUAGAGAUCGUAAGGAAGACCAGUGGCGAAGGCGGGUCUCUGGACAGUUCCUGACACUGAGGCACGAAGGCCAGGGGAGCAAACGGGAUUAGAUACCCCUGUAGU
rnacentral:rRNA from 1 species